rnacentral:rRNA from 1 species
AUUGAACGCUGGCGGCGUGCCUAACACAUGCAAGUCGAGCGGUAACAGGUGUAGCAAUACAUGCUGACGAGCGGCGGACGGGUGAGUAACGCUUGGGAAUCUGCCUGUUAGUGGGGGACAACCCGGGGAAACUCGGGCUAAUACCGCAUACGCACUACGGUGGAAAGCCGGGGACCGCAAGGCCUGGCGCUAACGGAUGAGCCCAAGUCGGAUUAGCUAGUUGGUAGGGUAACGACCUACCAAGGCGACGAUCCGUAACUGGUCUGAGAGGACGACCAGUCACACCGGAACUGAGACACGGUCCGGACUCCUACGGGAGGCAGCAGUGGGGAAUAUUGGACAAUGGGGGCAACCCUGAUCCAGCGACGCCGCGUGGGUGAAGAAGGCCUGCGGGUUGUAAAGCCCUUUCGGUUGGGAAGAAAAGCUGCGACCUAACACGUUGCGGCCUUGACGUAACCAACUAAAGAAGCACUGGCUAACUCUGUGCCAGCAGCCGCGGUAAUACAGAGGGUGCGAGCGUUAAUCGGAAUUACUGGGCGUAAAGCGCGCGUAGGCGGCUUUGCAAGCCGGAUGUGAAAUCCCCGGGCUUACUGGGAACUGCAUUCGGGACUGCAUUGCUAGAGUAUGGGAGAGGGAAGUGGAAUUUCAGGUGNAGCGGUGAAAUUGCGUAGAUAUCUGAAGGAACAUCAGUGGCGAAAGCGACUUCCUGGACCAAUACUGACGCUCAUGUGCGAAAAGCGUGGGGGAGC